UACGGAGGGGGCGAGCGUUAUUCGGAAUUAUUGGGCGUAAAGGGCGCGUAGGCGGCCCGGUAAGUCAAAGGUGAAAUCCCUCGGCUCAACUGAGGAACUGCCUUCGAAACUGUCGGGCUUGAGGCCGGGAGGGGGUAGCGGAAUUCCCAGUGUAGCGGUGAAAUGCGUAGAUAUUAGGAGGAACACCAGUGGCGAAGGCGGCUACCUGGACCGGUUCUGACGCUGAUGCGCGAAAGCGUGGGUAGCAAACAGG
rnacentral:rRNA from 1 species